UACGUAGGGUGCAAGCGUUGUCCGGAAUUAUUGGGCGUAAAGAGCUCGUAGGCGGUUUGUCGCGUCUGCUGUGAAAAUCCAGGGCUUAACCCUGGACCUGCAGUGGGUACGGGCAGACUGGAGUGCGGUAGGGGAGAUCGGAAUUCCUGGUGUAGCGGUGAAAUGGCGCAGAUAUCAGGAGGAACACCGGUGGCGAAGGCGGAUCUCUGGGCCGUAACUGACGCUGAGGAGCGAAAGCAUGGGGAGCGAACAGG
rnacentral:rRNA from 1 species